rnacentral:misc_RNA from 1 species
UUCCAGAGGAGAACUAUUCA